AGCAGGUUACCGGCAUAUUUAACUGUCCAAUUUGUGAGAUUCUACUAUAAAGAAAAAGAAUCAAUCAAUGCUAAGAUUUUAAAAGAUGUGAAAUUCCCAUUAGAAUUUGACGCUUUUGAACUUUGUUCUUCCGAGAUGCAACGGAAGUUGACACCGAUGCGCACACGUUUCAAGGAAUAUGAAGACAAACGUGUCGAAGAAGCCCAGAGACAGAAGGACAGCAAAGGAGGCAGUUCCAAUAAGA